GUUUAAAUAGCUUAAGUAUAAAAGCUUAUUGUUGAAGGUAAUAAAAUGAUUAAUUGUAAUCUUUAAACA
rnacentral:tRNA from 1 species